CUCAGUAAAUGCUAAAAGGGCUUAAGAAAACAUUGUGGCUGCCUUACUGUGGACUGGAGCAAUUGGCUUAAAGGUCUGUUUUGGUGUUUUCUCGCGGUACAAGAUCUUGGUUUGCAUCAUUCAGUUCUCACCAGGAGGUCUGCCCAGUGCUUGCCCUUCGUUCACUAAAAAAGAAUGGAAUCCGGAUCCAUUUUAAAAUUGCAUAUAGAUCCCAAAAGGAAAGACCGGGAAAUGAAGAGUGAACGACGGCUUGGAUUUCAUGAUGGCUUAGGCUGAAAGGGAAAGGGACUUUAGUCUGCAGAGACGUCGCCGCCACCAGAAAAUCUGGCUUGAUUUUAGGAGUUCUUAAAUGCAGCGCCAGAGCAGGUGGCUUGGCAUGGAUUAAAAGGCUCUUUGUGGCUCUUAUUUAUACAUGGCUGGUUUGCUUGCAUUUCUUUGUGCUGGUACGUUUUUUUCCCCUAAGAAUUAAGGUGUUGACAUGCAUUUGGAUGUCUCAGUUGAGAUAGGUGAGAGUGGGUUGGUUCAGCAUGCUGAUGAAAAGAGAAGAGAAGUAUGGUUUUAAGUUGUUUCAGCUGACAGGCAUUUAAUGCACGUCAAGGUUGGCAUGUUGCUGCCAUUGUGAUGUGCAGUGUUUUUCUUAAGCGGGAAAUGUGGAGACAAGGUGAGGGAGCUGAUUUGUUAGUUUAAUUUUGACUUUAGUAGGUGAUGGGCUGUCCUGUUUGAAUAUUUUUAAGAACUCUAUUUUAUAUCUGGUCAUUUUUUCUUGAGCGGAAAAUAUGGAGACAAGGUGAGGGGGCUGAUUUGUUAGUUUAGUUCUGACUUGGGUAGGUGAUGGGUUGUCCUGAUGGAAAAUUUUUUAAGAACUCUAUUUCAUAUCUGGUCAUAGCAAUCACUUCUGUUUUGUGACAUCCAGUUACUUGCUUUUUAUCAUGUUGGUGGGCAUGUAUUUUCCUUUUUUCCUGCAAAGAUAUAUAAUGCUUUAAGCUUUGCUUUUGGGUGUACUGGCUCCUAACUUUUUCCCCGUGUUCUACUAAGACAAAGGUUAGUUUUUUAAGAUUAUUCUCUGCUUUUCCUCGACUUUAGUUUCAAAUCAAUUUGGGUUGCAAGUUAUGAACUUUACUGUGUUUUUAAGAUUUGGCUCCUUUUAGUUGUCUUUAAUUUUUUUUACUUUUGUUGAACGAUUAUUUGUAGCAUUGUUUGUUGCCUUUUUUGUUAUUAGUAAAAUACCAAUCCUUAUGCCCCAAUAACAUUUGACUAUAAACAUUCAGCAAAUCAAAGUUAAUAGCAUUAGCCCCGAAGACCCUCCAAGCACAAAAAUUACCUUAGCCUUCUUCUAGCCCCUAAAGAGUUUCAUAUAAUAUGUGUGUUUGGUGGGAUAUGAAUUAGGGGGGUUAAAGAAAAAGAAACAAAUAUGUUCCCGAUAAGAAUAAGGUAAAAUCACACAACUCAUAAAAGCUUUGUUUGCUCUGACACAGAUUUUGGGAUCUUUCUCUGAACUCUAGACAGUUAUAAACAGGGCAAGUUGUUAAGAAAUUGAAACCGGCCAGUAGUUAAGCUAUGCAUGAUUCUAUCUGACACCUAUUCCAAAGUUUUUAUCUUCUUAUAGAAUUGUUAAAGGAGAAAAUGCUUUACUCUGGCGACAUGUAUCCAAAUGUACCCACAAGACGUGUAAGGGGAGAUGCACUUCCAGCCUUAGUUAGUUUUGUUAAUCCAAAAUCUGCAACCUGUACAAUAAAGGAUUCAGUACAACUAUGUGAAAAAGGCUUAAAAUGGGACACCAUCAUAAGAAAAAUAUCAAUCCAACAUUUCCCCUGAAGUUCUUGCGUAUCAGUAUGUUUGCUGAUUUAAUAUCACGAUGAAUAUAAACAGGGACAAUAUGCUCAUGGAUAUAUUCAAGACCUCUAGCUGAAUCAAGGGCAAUCUAGAAAAAACAGAGCUUAAUCUUCUAGAACAUUUAACACUGUUUGGCCAUGGCAGCCUACAGAGUUUGACAAUUGCGCUGCACGCUUUAGGGAAUUUAAAGAAAAAUUGCAGCAGAAUGGAAAGACCACAGAAUUUUCAUAGAGUUUCAGCGAAAAACCUCAGUAUAUCUUCACUACUUUUUUUUACACGCCUUUCCGUAACCUGGAGUAGAAGUGUAGCACCUAAAAAAACAAAAGAUUUUCAAUCAACAACACAGGAGAUUUAGGGUAAGUGUUUUUUGUUCCAUCUGGUUUUGGAUUAAAAAAAUUAUGGAUUGAGAUGAAUGAAUUUGUUAUUUGAGAUGAGGCAUUAAACAAGUAUGUUGUAUCACUUUGUGUUCAAUUCUCUCUAUAUGGGCAAGGCAGUAAAAGUAUUUUCAUAAUUAUUUUCUUUUCAUUUUCAUAAUCGCAUGUUUUUUUUUUUAUUGUUGUUAUUAUCCAUCUCUCAAGUUCAGAUUUGCUUGGUGACUUUCUAUUUUUAACCAUUUGUUGCAGGCAUGGUAUUCCAAUUAGUGUUGAGCUAUCUCUAGGUUGCAGAGAGUUGUAACACCACCUUUUUCCUCUGUCACUCAAGUUACAGGUUGCUUUAUUUUGUGUGGACCUUCUCAGAAUGUUUAAUGGUGUAGGCUAUUGAUUUUGCUAUCCACUUUCAAGGAAUGUUUGACAAGAAAAACUAGCAAUUCCUCUACAAAUGACUUGGAUUUAGAUUCCUGUAGCAAGAACAUGGAGAGGAAUCUGGCAGCUUAUUUCCACUUUUGAUGUUGUUUAUAACUUAAUCUAUAUUAUCAUGAUUGCUGCCUCUGUAAUUUUGAUAUAAUUUGGAAACAACAAUGUCUUUUAAGUGCUCAGCAAUCUGACAGCUUAUUUGCAUUUUGUUGUUUAUAACUUAAUCUAUAACUUUAUCUAUAUUAUCAAACCUUUGAUACUA